rnacentral:pre_miRNA from 1 species
CUUAUACUUUCUUCGUUCAGAAAUACUUGCCAUAGAAAUGGAUGUAUCUAGAUGUAUUUUAGUUAUAGAUACAUUUAAUUUUAUUCAUUUAUGCGGCAAGUAAUUUCGGACGGAUGGAGUAUUAA